rnacentral:lncRNA from 1 species
AUAGUAGGUGCUCAAUAUGUGCUUGUUGAAUAAAUGUGUCAAUGUUUGAUGUACAGACCUUUUAUUAUGUUUGAUUUGCUGCCAGUGCUGCCUCCAAACACAGGAGUGCUUCAUGAGAUGUUCACAAAAGCUCUUAAAAUAUUCCACAAAAAUCUUAAAAUAUUUCAUGAGUUUUCUUUCCUGUAUUUUUAUAGCAGCAUCUGGAAUUUAGCCUGCAUAGGACCCUCUGUAAGCUGACCCUGUUUAUCUAUUCAGCUUUACUUCUCCCCUCUCUCCACUUUGUAUUUUAUUCUCUACUACUUCCAACUGAUUGUAAUUUGACCAGACUCCAGACUAUCUUAUGCCUCUUUGCUUUUGUUUACCUGUUACUUCUCUCUGGAAUUCCCUGCCCCUUCUUAAUUUUUCUGGCCAAUUCUCACUCUCUAGGACUCAGAGGUUUCUCCUCAGGAGACUUCCAUGAGUCUCAUGUUGAGUUAGGUGACCCCAAUCCUCUGUUCUUCAUAGUCAUUCGCGCAUUUAUCUAGCUCAGCAUUUGCCAUACUACAUUGAAAUUAUUUCCUUAUGUGCCCAUCACUCCCCGUAGAUUGCAAACUCCUAGAGAAGGGCUCAACAGUGAGUGCUGAGGCUGCACAGAGGAGGAAGGCAGCACAAUGAUGGAAGGCUUCCUAAAGAGGUCAUCUCCUGAAUCAAUUAAAAAAAAAACCAACAGUGACAACAAAACUAAAAAAUAUGAAGAAGCUGAAACAUGAAAGCUCUGCCAACUGCAAUAUGUAGCUGCUAAGGUUGCUGUAUUUAUUGGAAUCAAGCAAGUGUUCCAGUAAAGAGCACAGAAGAUGUGUCUGGGAGCCUUUAUGUGUAGAUAACACUAACAAAGUUGACCUUAGAAUUGGAGUGCCUGGGUUAGAACCCUGCUGGUACCACCUGCUUACUGCAUGCUUCUGAUGUGAGUUCAGGAGAAGACACUGGCAAGGACAGCAAAGAACAGGAGAACACUCUAGCUUCCCUGAUAGCAUUCAAGGUGCUGUCCAAAGCUCUUGAGUUUCUGCUUUCAAGUGACCCUCAGAAAUUCCUCCAUUCACUGCAGAGGUUCUGUUUCUCCUUGCUUUGUUCUGACUUUACGGCAGAACUAAGCUAAUGAGUUAGUUACUAUGGGUUAUCACUUGGAUUUGAAGAACCAUCAUUUCUAGGCAUUGCUGCUCAGAGUGGGUCUGCCCUCAGGGGAAGCUGUCUAACCAGAGCCUAACCCACUAGGGUUUUAUCAGAACCUAACUGACCUGAGGAAAAGAAAUACUCAACUCCAGCAAGCUCCAGCCUUCCAAAUGGAGGAGGAGAAAACCCAACUCCAGCCCACUUCAGCUAUCUUGUCCCACAUAAAGGGGAAGUGGAAGAAACCUGAGAAGCAGGCAUGAAGUUCACAGUCCAGAGAUGACAUGAUUUUCUAUGCAAAAAAUUCAAAAUAAUCAACAACAAAAAAAUCCUGAAACUAAUAAAUGAUUAUAGCAAGAUUUCAGGAUAUGAGAUUUAUAUACAAAGGUCAAUUACUUUCAUAUAUACAAGCAAUGAACAAGAGGGAUUUGAAAUUAAAAACGAAACUAUUUACAUUAGUACCCCCAAAAUGAAAUCCUUAUGUAUAAACUUAACAAAAUAUGUACAAGAUACAUAUGAGAAAAA